GACGAACCGUGCGAACGUUGUUCGGAAUCACUGGGCUUAAAGGGCGCGUAGGCGGCAGCGUUAGUCCGGGGUGAAAGCCCCCAGCUUAACUGGGGAAGGGCCUUGGAUACUGCGUUGCUCGAGGGAGGUAGGGGUCGAGGGAACUUCUGGUGGAGCGGUGAAAUGCGUUGAUAUCAGGAGGAACACCGGUGGCGAAGGCGGGUCUCUGGGCCGAUACUGACGCUGAGGAGCGAAAGCGUGGGGAGCGAACAGG
rnacentral:rRNA from 1 species